rnacentral:rRNA from 1 species
AAACCGUUCAGGGGUAAACCUGAGAAACCCGAAAGAUCGAAUGGGGAGAUUCAGCGUCAGCGGCGUUGGCUCGGCGAAGUGGACGAUGUAGCGGACUACGGUAUCGCGACACGUUAUCACUAUGCCAUGUCCGGCGUCGUCGUCGUGCACUUCUCCCCUAGUAGAACGUCGCGACCCGUUGGGUGCCGGUCUACGGCUCGAGGUGUUAAGACUGCCGCGUCGCUUCGGCGCACGUGGCAGACCCUCGAUUGCUCGGCCGGCUGCCCGGCGGUAAAACGCACGGUAUCUGGCCGCAAUUUUUGAACUGCGUCGGGCCCGCCGCAAGCGAGGCCAGUGUCCCGGAGGUACGGACCUAGUGCCGUCCCCGAGCCUGGCCAGCUGUUGGCAGGCGGAGUCCUCAGACAGGCAGAACACGAUGGUACCGGUCGGCGACGCUACUGCUUUGGGUACUCUCAGGACCCGUCUUGAAACACGGACCAAGGAGUCUAACAUGUGCGCGAGUCAUUGGGAUUGUAAAACCUAAAGGCGCAAUGAAAGUGAAGGUCGGCUUCGCGUCGACCGAGGGAGGAUGGGCCGCGCUACGACGCGGCUCCGCACUCCCGGGGCGUCUCGUUCUCAUUGCGAGAAGAGGCGCACCCAGAGCGUACACGUUGGGACCCGAAAGAUGGUGAACUAUGCCUGGUCAGGACGAAGUCAGGGGAAACCCUGAUGGAGGUCCGUAGCGAUUCUGACGUGCAAAUCGAUCGUCGGAACUGGGUAUAGGGGCGAAAGACUAAUCGA